UACGGAGGGUGCAAGCGUUAUCCGGAUUCACUGGGUUUAAAGGGUGCGUAGGUGGGUUGGUAAGUCAGUGGUGAAAUCUCCGAGCUUAACUUGGAAACUGCCAUUGAUACUAUCAGUCUUGAAUACCGUGGAGGUUAGCGGAAUAUGUCAUGUAGCGGUGAAAUGCUUAGAUAUGACAUAGAACACCAAUUGCGAAGGCAGCUGGCUAGACGAAUAUUGACACUGAGGCACGAAAGCGUGGGGAUCAAACAGG
rnacentral:rRNA from 1 species